rnacentral:rRNA from 1 species
UACGUAGGAGGCAAGCGUUGUCCGGAGUUACUGGGCGUAAAGGGCCCGCAGGCGGUGGAGUAAGUUUGGAGUGACAGUUCCCAGCUUAACCGGGAAAGGACUUCGAAAAACUGCUCGACUUGAGGACUGGAGAGGAAGGCGGAAGUUCCGGGUGGAGCGGGUGAAAUGCGUUAGAAGAUCCGGAGGAACACCGACCGGGCGAAGGGCAACGCCCGAUUCGUGGAAAAGGUAG